CCUGUAACCAGACUCACAGGACUGAGUGGGACAGAGAGAUAUUCCCUGCACACCGGAGAGGGGGCUCACGCUGGCUCUGAUGCUGUGGGCAAAGCAGCGAGCUCGCUGCCUACCCCUCCGGGACAGCAAGGGCAGAACUGAGCAGGGUGGGAGCUGAGACCCCAACUGAGGGGGGACGACGACACACAGACAGGACAGGGGAUCUGGUGGGAG